AGCGCCGGUCGUCUCGCUCGCACUGAUAAUCGGAAACUGAUACCGCUUGAUAUGUACGUCAGGCAGCGCGCAGCAUCUUCCCCACGCAAGCACGAAGAUGGAGGGUAUUUUGGUGUUUGAUCAAACGAACGAUUUAAUCUACCACAAUUUUAACGAGGCGAUGCGGGAAAAAAUGUCCAAGCAGGCGUACGAUUUGGGUUUGCUCGACGAGGAGUCUGCGUGUCCCACCCAGGAGCUUAAUUCGAAUGUCCUGAUACAAAUCUUCAGCCCGCUGCUGGCCUCGCAACGCAUCAUGAUGUGCCAGUUCGACAACGCGUACACCUCCAUCCAGAUGGACAACAACCUGAACGUCGUGUUCGACGAGUUUUUAGGGUACAUUUUCCUGGAAAUCAGCACGAAGGAGGUCGACUUGGUGAAGCGAGAACUGGGCGCAUUCAUUGCAUUCACCAAAUACAUCUGCGGACCGAACAUUUUCUCAAUCAAAAGCGACACAAGCAGGGUGGAACAUCUUACCGAGCUGAUUCUUACCUACCGCGAGCUGUACACCGUCAACCAGGGCGUACUGAUGGAAGCAAUCGAACAGCUGCUGGUGAAUGUGGAUGUAAAGAAUGCGGUGGUCACCGCCCUCCAGGCAGCUACCGAUCGGCUCAAGCAAGACCCCCACUCGCAACGGUCCCAUUCGCUGCUGUUUGUUGGCAGCAAGUUCCUCGCACGGUACAGUACCCGCCAAGCGCAGGAGCUAGCCGCCGUCGACAUGCUCUUCCUGAAUCUGCUCUGCCAGAUGCACACCCGGCGCAGCGAGCGCCAACGUAUCGUGUCGCAGAUAGUAUUCCUGCAGGGAAACGUGCACCAAGCGUACGCAGGUUGCGUCCCGCACAUUGUCCACGUGGUGCACCUGUUCGAACGCGUGUCGCUCGUCCUGGUAAUCGAGCACGCCCAUACCGCUCUCGCAAGCCACCUGUACGACGUCUACUUCGCCCUACACAAGCUGCAAAACCUGCAGAUGCAGUUCGAUCUGGACAAUUUGCGCGGUGCGUUCGAUGCGCUCGACACGUACACGAAACACACGCAGGACGCACUGAGGAAGGUAAAGUCGAACAAUGCCGAGGUGGACGAAUGCGUCCGUACGUUCGGCGCCAGGUGGGACACGCUGCGCAAGAAGUACACCGACUACUUUAAAACCUCCGACAAUGCGCUGAUCGUGAAGAUUGAAUCGAACAUGCCGCUGUUUGUGGAAUCGGUCAAGGAGCUGUUCCGGUUGCUGUGCGCUAGCUGCGCGACGCUCGAGCACGGGCUGCAGCGUGUGACGGAUAUAGCGGACGUGGCGGAGGGUAGCCUGAGCGAGGUGUUCGUUUUUCUGCACGCGAAAUCGCAGAAAAACUUUACCAUGGGAUCGUACAUGGAAGAGUUCCCGGGUAUGGUGCACUUUAUGCACAUAGAUCGCUACAAUGGAAGAAUCGUUGCUCCCUCACUGAACGACCACGAUCCGUCGGAUAUUCUCAAAGAUAGGAUCUGGUCAAUGGUCGACUUUUCGCGCAACUAUCUCGACAAGGGUUACAUGUCAAUGAUCUGGAAAGAUGUGACGUUCAGCUACGCGUACUUCCUCUGGUUCGAGGACGAGCACGGCGCGACCUUGAAGCCGAACGAACCGCCAAACCAUGGUGCGGUGCUGCCCGCCACCAAACCGUCCCUGAUUGCCGGCAUCCUGGCGGGAGACUACUAUCAGCGGCUGAUCGAGACUUGCUUCCCAAGAACACCGUCCGGCAAGGUUCGGUGCUACGAACUGUUUCUCGUCCAUCUCGGGCUUGUGACUUCGACGAUCGUGCUGGAACACUGUCGCCGGCUGGCCGUCACCAUUACGGAUCUGACGGGAUGUAUCGGAAAUCCGAUCGAUCUGCUGUAAGGCACGACUCUUCGCGUUGUGUGGUGGUAUGUUUGUGUGUAACAACGGAACUUUCGCUGCAAGGUUGGAGGGGGUGGGCGUCGAGUGUGUUGUUUAUCAGCUGUGAUCUGUGCCGUGUGAAACUUUUUCGGUGUGCUGAAACGGAUUCAAAAAUCUGUUUGCUCUACAAAGUCGAUGAGUGCAUCUUAUCAGUUCUGCAGCGUCAUGGUGAACGUUGGGAGGUGUUGGCACGGAAGACGGAGCGGGAAAGGGUUCACGACAACUAUGCGGUGAUAAGGAUAUCAACGGAUUGUGCAUUUACAGUUAGCGGGUGAGCCCACGCUGUACCUCGUAGGAGAACCUGGCCAUGGGUAUUGGAGAAUGCAUAUCGUAUGCCGGGAUCGUGCUUGACCUUGAACACUGACUCUGCUCGAUCACGGGUUCCAAAUUGGUCAUUACGUUACCGGCGGCUUGCCAGCAAUCAGCAUCGGCUAUUCUUUUUCCGUUCAGUUCUUCCUACCGUGCUUCUGUGUAUAAAGUGCCUUCCAUUAACAUCUCCCGACAACAAGUUGGAGUUGCUUCUAGCACGGAUUAUGAUGGUGCUGUUGCUGAAGAGAAAUGUUGUGUUGCCUGGUUGCACUGGGCAGGAUGGUUCACACAGUGUAGUCGAUCUCCUGUUGGUGUCGAUUGUUCCCUUCGAGCCGGAGGCCCAUCCUGGCCGCUCAGUGCGAUAGUGUUAGCUGCUAGAAAUACAAGAUGUAAAUAUAAAAUGGUUACUUUACAUGUUAAUACAGAAAAGGGUACUAUAUAGGUUAUAGAA